ensembl:lncRNA
GUACUUGGAAACAGUUAAAAACCAUGAUUUUCUUCUUAUAUAGGUCUUGCUUUAUUCUCAUAAAUUAUAUUUCAGUACUGUUUUCAAGGAAAAUGGUUCACUUUUGAGAAUGAAGAACAUGGAAUUCUUAGUAUUCUCUUUGUGUGUUCUGUAAUUACUACUUUACUGGUAUUGUGUUAGGAACUGUCUUGGUCUCUGCUUUCUAUUGCUGUGAUCAAGUCCACGACCAAAAACAACUUGGGUAGGGGAAGGAUGUAUUUGGUUUACAUGUGGUAAUCCAUCCUUGAGGAAAGUCAGAGCAGGACCUCAAGGAGGAACCUGUAGAUGGGUGAUACUGCCCAUACAUAGUACACAUAUGUAUGAAUAUAUGCAUCUCUGUGGCUUUGUCAAUGUCUGUUAGGCUCUGUUUUGAAGGGUUGAUAGGACAGUCUUGAUCAUCUUCUUGCUUAAAGGAUUGACAUUUUAAGGGACUUAAUGUCUGCAUGGAAGUAAUAAUGUACCAUGGUUCUCUUUUCUUCUAUAGUUAUGGACAUCAGACAGUGCAGGAGAAGAAUGUGAUGCAGCUGAGGGGGCUGAGAACUAAAGGCAUCCAGGACACCAACCUCCUUCCCCUCAAGAAAACCUUUUUACAUCUCCAUUCCUUAUUCCACUUGGAUUUCCUCUAGCAAGGAAGCCAUUCAUGUGUAUGGGGUCAACUGUUUAUAGUCUUUUCACACUGCAGCUUUGGGAAAACUCCAUCCCUUGGUUUGUGUUGUCUCCACCUUCCUGGUGUGCAGUUACUGCUAUAGAAAAGUAUCAAUAGCUUCAUUUCAUAUAAACACGAGUAACUUCCAGACACUUGUGUAGAGGACUGACAGCACAUUUGGUAUUUAAGUAAUCUGAACCAGUUCUGCAAGUGACUGUGUUUUGUAUUACUGUGAAGAUAUGGAAAUGGUAGUGCAUUACAAUUUAAAGUGAUUGUAAUAAUAACGUCUUGAUUUCUACAUUCCUUUUCUGAACUUUCUUGGGGUUUCCUUUCAGAAGCAACUUUUCCAUGCUCUUACUACAAAUUCCUUUUUAGUAGGAAUCCAGAAGUGUUAGAUUGAAUGGGAAAGCGCUUAAUGCAUCCGGGCUUGGGGGUCACAGAUUGAAAUGUCUCCUGUGUCACAUUCUGGAGGUUACAUCUGUCUGUGACAACAGGGCGUUUCCUUAUGCAUUCUUCAUUUGCUGCUGUUUAAGUUGACAACUUCCUUCCCAAUAAAAAUUCACUUACACCUCCUGCCUUCGUAGCUCUGGUAUUCACUUUACCUUGUGACAGAAGUAGCAUGUUGCUGCCAGAAUACAAGCAUUGCUUUGGGCAAAUUAAAAUGCAUGUCCUUUCUUAAUACACUAGGAAGGAGAAAUAAAGUACACAAGUCCAAGUCUAAACUUUAGUACUUUUCCAUGCAGAUUUGUGCACAUGUGAGGGGGUAUCCAGUUUGUCCAGUGAUUGUUCUUUAGAGAGUUGGACCACUAUAUUGUGUGUUUGCUAAUCAUUGACUGUAGUCCCAAAAAAAGCCUUGUGCAUGCUAGAACAUCUUUCAUUUGUUUUUUUGUUUUUUGUUUUUGAAAAAGAACCAAAAGAAUUCAGCAGCUUUUCAAUAAGCUUGUGAUGGGAUGUAAAUUGAUGAUAACCAGGCCUUGUGUUUUCCUUUAAUCCCAUUGUUUUGGGGGGGGGUUGUAGAGUUAGGCAGCGAAGUUUGGUCAGCCAGGGUUUUGUGUAGUUGAGAGUUGGUUUCAAAACAA